GUAAGAGGAGGACUUGGGAGAGACUGAGUUUGGCUGGAGGGAGUUCAACAGAGUGGGAGGAGAGAGCUGGACAAAGAAUAUAUACACUCUUCCAAGGAGUUACGGUAUUCAGAAAGCGAAGGGAUGGGGUGGGAGCUGGAGCCACCACAGGGUUCUCAGGAAGGGGGAAAUUACAUGUUUAUAUGCUGAUGGGAACGAUCCCUUCGAGAAGAAGUUAAGGCUCAAAAAGGUCAGGUUAUCCCGGCACCAGUCUGGUCCAAACUCUUCUUCCCACCCCUAAACUACUGAAGUGAUACAUUUAAGUCUUCCCAGCCCUCCUGCCUUACACGAAAUCCGAUUAGGGCAGUUUGCAUUUUUACUUUAAUGGGGACAUGUGAUAUUUAGCACCUUCGGUCAAGACGCCCCUCAAAUAGGUUUUCGGGCUCUGCGUCCCAGCACGGCCUCCCGCGCGCUUUCGAAACGUCACCCUUGUCAGCUGUCCAGUUUUCCUCCAAUCCCGCCUCGGGGGCGGGGCUGGCGCACCGUCUCUACAGCAACGCCUUAGCCAGAGGGUGCUCAGGUUUUCGGGACCGCGCGUGGCGCUCUCAGAUGACGUCACACACCCGCGGCGCUUGCGUGACGUAAGCCCUGCUCAGUAAGAAGGCUCCGCAGGUCGGCAGAGAACACCACCACUAAUGGGAAGACUGCCCCCUGACCGGCACAUGGCCUCAGCAUUCAUCCACAGAUGCUCCUCAAAUUGUUUUAAAAACAGCUUUUUUUAAAAGCUGUUUGUCUAUGAAGAUUAAAUGAGUUAAUAAUAUAAGCAAAGCACUUUGCAUGGCUACUGGGCACGGUGGUUCAUGCCUGUAAUUCCAGCACUUUGGGAGGCCGAAGCAGGUGGAUCACCUGAGGUCAGGAGUUCAAGACCAGCCUGAUCAACAUGGCGAAACCCUGUCUCUAUUAAAAAUACAAAAAAAAUAGCCGGGCAUGGUGGCACGUGCCUGUAAUCCCAGCUACUUGGGAGGCUAAGGCAGGAGAAUCGCUUGAACCUGGGAGGCAGAGGUUGCAGUGAGCCGAGACCUCGCCGUUGCACUCCAGCCUGGUUGACAGAGCAAGACUCUGUCUCAAAAAACAAAAAAACCCCAGCUUUUGUCCAGAGGUUGCUUUUUGUGGGUCUGUACGCUGAGGCCAAGUUCUAUGUAAGCAGAGCCCUCCCACCUCACCUCCAAACAAUGCCUCUAAACCAUCACAAUCUGAAAGGAAAAUAAAUCCCUUUCUUCAAUGGUGACCUGAAGCUAGCCAAGGACCGGGUGCUGGCAGGUGGCCUGCGAGACUGGGUCGGAUCCCGGGUUACUGUCUGAGGAGGGAUGCCGUGCUGUAAGGGUUGGGGAGCCAGUGUCUGGCUUCCUUGUCACCACAAGACCUGUGGUUUCCAGCUCUGUCUGCAUCCAGGUCCCACUAACCAACAGCAGGAGAGAAAACAGUUGUGCACACAGGCGGACGCGCACACGCGCACCUGGCCCCCCAGACGUGCACAGCCCUCAGAGGAAGUGGAGCACCAGAUGUUCUGGGUUUCCUGUUCGACGCUUCCACAGCUGGUCGAGUCUGUGGUUGUGGUUUGUCUGUCUCGGGCUCAUGUGAGAGACAAAAGCUGGGCUGACGGGAAACCUCUUCUCUCGGCCCCCACUCCCCAGCUCUGACUGAUUAGGAAACCUGGCAGGUCAGAAAUUUCCUGAAACACCCAGAGCUGGAUUCUCCCAAGAAGAAGCUGAACCCCCAACUCCCAUCCCUGAGGAGCAGCCCCUGGGCUGAUGAUCAGGACUUACAGAACCUGGGGCGAUGGAAACCUCUACAAAUAUCCCAUUUAGAAAGACCGCCAGCCCUGCCAACAGAAUGAAACGGAGGCCAGGUUGCUAUGGUCUCUACUCCAAUGCCUGACAUUGAGCCGCUGCUGCAAAACACUCAGCACAUGAAGGAAUGAAUGAGGAACAGAGAACUUCACCUUUGGGGGUUGGGUGUACAAGCCCCAACUGGGCCCCAAGUCCCAUAAAUAGCUUUGGAUUCCAACAUACAAGCAUUUGACGCAGCGAGGUGCUGCCGACUUGCUCUGUGACUUGGAGCAAGUCAUUUAGCCUCUCUGGGCCUGGUGUCCUCAUCUGCAGAAUGGAGAUGAUAAUAUCUACUUCACAAAGGUGUGAAGGCCCUGUGAGACACCGCAUGUGGAUUUCCUCGACAUUGUUUGCCCAUCGUAACUGCUCCAGAGAGGCUGGGCUCCCUUUUCUCGUUGCAACACUGCUGUUUAUUUCAGGAGAUACUCUAAAAGGGAAGCAAGCUAAAACAAAGAACAACCAAAAACACUGAUCCCGGGACAACUGCCCGGCAGGACAGCAGAGCAAGGGUACUUGGUGCUCUUCGUUGGGGGGAUGUUGGGAGAAGGGGCUGGAGCCAUCCCAGGGUCUCCAGGCUCUGGAAGGGAGCACCCCAUGUCCUCCUCUGGGUGUGGAAUAGGGUGAGUGUCUUAGGGGUGGAGAGAGAACAGGCAGAGUGUGCUCUCACCCCUUAGCUCUGUAGUGAUUUUAAUGAUUAAGGCUACUGUUCGGUCUGCAUUUGGACCUGAGCAACAGGGACCCCUGCCCAGAGGUCCAUCCUUCAGCAGCGUGCACUGCAUCCCCCUCCACUGCAGCUGACUCUAUGAGAUGAAGCAUCUGUCGCUCAGUGUAGCCAUCAGGUCCACUGCCCCUGAAAUAUGACUGACUAGGUUCAAAUGUUGACUCUGACACUUAGAAGCUGUGCCACCUUGGGGCAAGUUACUUCAUCUCUCUGUGCCUUACUUUCUUCCUUUAUAAAAUGGGUAAAAUAAUAACCACACCAUCGGUUGUCUAUGAAGAUUAAAUGAGUUGAUAAUAUAUGCAAAGCACUUAGCAUGGCUACUGGCACAAGGGUCAGUAAACGUUAACUGUUCCACACAUGAAUGUGUUUGAUUCUUAUAAUGCCCCAUGGGUAGAUUCUGUUAUUAGCUCUGUUUUACACAUGAGAAAACUUAGGCACAGGAGGUAAAGUAACAUUUGCAAGGUCACACCGUUAAGUAGCAAGGCUGAGGCUUUACUCCAGUUCUUUUUUUUUUUUUUUUUUUUGAGGCAUCUCACCAGGCUGGAGUGCAGUGGCACAAUCUCACAGGUCGGCAGGCAGUUGCAGUUCUCUUCCACAGACUCACUCAGGGACCCAGGCUGACGGAAGUUCCAUCAGCUGUAGCUGCACCAUCUGGGACACACGGCCUCCAUGGCUGCGGCAGCUGGGAAACAGACCCUGGAGAAGGGCGCACCAGCUUUUUACUGCCUCAGCCUGGAAAUGACACGUAUCACUUCUGCUCAAUUUCAUCGGCCAAAGCUAGCCAUAUGGCACAGCUGGGAAACCCAGGGGAGUCAACGGUCUGUGUAGUGAACAUUAUUGUUUCUGCCACAGAAAACUUCCAAGAGUAGGGAGAUGAGAGAGCUUGCGGUUCAGAUUUCCAGUUUGGGCACAAAGACGGAUGUCUCCUAGAGAGAAAGGGAUGGGAGAGUCCUCUGUGGAGUGGCUUCUGUUCCCUACAUCCCAGAGAGGCUCAGCUUUUCUGGCCGAUGGAGUGCAGUUUUAUUUGUUUGAGAAUAUGUUUUGUUUUCUUCCUUUUUCUCGUUCUUGCUUACCCUCAAAACAUGGGAAGAAAAGCUGUCUGACUCAAACAGCCAGCAGUCUGGUCCGGGCCCCCUAAGAUGGAGAGGCGCCAUUUCCCAGCAGGCCAAGAAAUGCCCCGGGAGCUCCAAGGGUUCUGUGGGUCCCGGGAUGAGAGGCUGACACAGCCAAGAAGACCCAGGGUGAGGCUGAGCGGAGGCUGAGGCGGCAUGCCUGGCCGCCCACACUGCCAUCCGUCCUAGCGCUCUGUGCAGAGCACGGCUGAAAACUCCCCAGGUAUCUUUGGAAAUGAAGAACACUGGGUUGGCACCCGGCAAUUUGGGACAGCAGCUUUUCUGGAGCGCACAGCUUGGGAAUAAGCCUGAAGAAAUCUUUCAUUCCUAGAGCGUUGGUGGAUAAAUGGUACUUAUUUGUUUAACCUCAAAUCAAGCCGCAGCCCCCAUUUCUGGGGCUGCUUUGCGAGGGUUGUUUUAAAAUAGCUGAACAAGCUGAAAAUCACGGGUCUAGGUUGCUGGAAUGGCUUUGCAGAGAGCAGCCGGGCUUAGGAAGUUCUUUAAUUUUCCAUAGAAUGUGACUGGCAGUGGUUGGGGGUUGGGGUCGGGGGUAGGGGGAGGGAGGUGAGCUGUCGGAGAGGAACAAAGCCUGGGCCCUUCUUCUAGAAGGGUCCGUAUUGGCUGAACAAUCUCUGCAGUGGAUUCAACCUGGUCUGGUCCCCUUGGGGGUUUGGGGUGGGAUGUUAUCUUGGAGGACUCCUUCCUGAGGUCUGCUGCAGGUGGCUUUGAAUUCAGCAGAGUGAAGUUCCUCGGUUAUUCCUGUCUGACUGGGGUCAAUUUCCUCUUUUAUUAACGGAACAGCUCUUUCCUCAGGAGAACCUAUUUCAUGGAUUUAGGUAGGACUGACUCGGUAGUGUACAUAACUGUUUAAUGGCCAGCUGGGGGCAGGCAGAGGGGACAGGGAGGAAAGCCUUGAUUUGUAGCAUUUGCCAAUUUCCAUGGUGUAAAUACUCCCCCACUACCAGCUUCAAGCUACAGACAUAACAUCACUGAGACGUCACUGACCUUGGACUCGGGAACAGAUGAGCACACCCAGCUCUCACAAACACAUCCCCGGUGCUGAUUUUACCCCAUCCAGGGCUGGGCACAUGACCCAAAGCUGCCCUAUGGGAGUUCCUCAGGGCCAUCAGAGGAGACUGCUCCUUUUCUUAGGCAUUGCUAAAUAGAAUGUUAGUUGGGGACUGCCAGCAGCCAUCUUGCCAGCUCUAGAGAGAGAAUUUGGUUGAGAGGGGGAGAAAGGGCACCCAUGACAUCCUCUGAACCCCUGAAGCCAGCCAUACCUGAAGCUGGUGUAUUCCUGGACUUUCCAACUACACACAUCUCUAGCCCCUCUUCUUUGCCUAAGUAGUGUGGGCUGAGUUUCUGCCACCUGCCAAUAAAAUGCCAAGAAUAAAAAAAAUGGGUCACCCAUUCAAGGAAGCCAAUCUAAUAGAUCUGGCUUUAUCUUGAUUGUGGUGGUUUCCCAGGCAUAUGCAACUGGUAACAUUCACUAAGUUGUACACUUUCCGUUACUGCAGCUUCUUGUAAGUAAAUUCUAGCUCAAUAAAACUGUUAAACAUAUAAAAAACAUAUUUGGGCUGUGUGUACUGGGGAGUGUGUGGAUUUUUCUAUAUCAGUUCUGCCAAGCAGAGGGCCAGGUAGGAAAAGAAAAUGAAACUAGAAGAACUGUUGUACCACCA
rnacentral:lncRNA from 10 species